GAUGACCUUUGGCGGCGUGCUUAACACAUGCGAGUCGAGCGAAGCAGUUAAGUUGAUUUCUUCGGAUUGAUUCUUGGCUGACUGAGCGGCGGACGGGUGAGUAACGCGUGGGUGACCUGCCCCAUACCGGGGGAUAACAGCUGGAAACGGCUGCUAAUACCGCAUAAGCGCACAGAGCUGCAUGGCUCAGUGUGAAAAACUCCGGUGGUAUGGGAUGGGCCCGCGUCUGAUUAGGCAGUUGGCGGGGUAACGGCCCACCAAACCGACGAUCAGUAGCCGGCCUGAGAGGGCGACCGGCCACAUUGGGACUGAGACACGGCCCAAACUCCUACGGGAGGCAGCAGUGGGGAAUAUUGCACAAUGGGGGAAACCCUGAUGCAGCGACGCCGCGUGAGCGAAGAAGUAUUUCGGUAUGUAAAGCUCUAUCAGCAGGGAAGAUAAUGACGGUACCUGACUAAGAAGCCCCGGCUAACUACGUGCCAGCAGCCGCGGUAAUACGUAGGGGGCAAGCGUUAUCCGGAUUUACUGGGUGUAAAGGGAGCGUAGACGGCAAGGCAAGUCUGAUGUGAAAACCCAGGGCUUAACCCUGGGACUGCAUUGGAAACUGUCUGGCUCGAGUGCCGGAGAGGUAAGCGGAAUUCCUAGUGUAGCGGUGAAAUGCGUAGAUAUUAGGAAGAACACCAGUGGCGAAGGCGGCUUACUGGACGGUAACUGACGUUGAGGCUCGAAAGCGUGGGGAGCAAACAGGAUUAGAUACCCUGGUAGUCCACGCCGUAA
rnacentral:rRNA from 1 species